rnacentral:rRNA from 1 species
ACAGCAGCAGCCACGGGAAUACGAAGGGGGCUAGCGUUGCUCGGAAUCACUGGGCGUAAAGGGUGCGUAGGCGGGUCUUUAAGUCAGGGGUGAAAUCCUGGAGCUCAACUCCAGAACUGCCUUUGAUACUGAAGAUCUUGAGUUCGGGAGAGGUGAGUGGAACUGCGGGUGUAGAGGUGAAAUUCGUAGAUAUUCGCAAGAACACCAGUGGCGAAGGCGGCUCACUGGCCCAUAACUGACGCUGAGGCACGAAAGCGUGGGGAGCAAACAGGAUUAGAUACCCCCGUAGUCCCUGUCUCUUAUAA